GCAAAACGCGAAGAACCUUACCCACCUUUGACAUGUACGGAAUCCUUUAGAGAUAGAGGAGUGCUCGAAAGAGAGCCGUAACACAGGUGCUGCAUGGCUGUCGUCAGCUCGUGUCGUGAGAUGUUGGGUUAAGUCCCGCAACGAGCGCAACCCUUGCCAUUAGUUGCUACAUUUAGUUGAGCACUCUAAUGGGACUGCCGGUGACAAACCGGAGGAAGGUGGGGAUGACGUCAAGUCCUCAUGGCCCUUAUAGGUGGGGCUACACACGUCAUACAAUGGCUGGUACAAAGGGUUGCCAACCCGCGAGGGGGAGCUACUCCCAUAAAGCCAGUCGUAGUCCGGAUCGCAGUCUGCAACUCGACUGCGUGAAGUCGGAAUCGCUAGUAAUCGUGGAUCAGAAUGCCACGGUGGAUACGUUCCCGGGUCUUGUACACACCG
rnacentral:rRNA from 1 species